CUGCUGGAAGACUAAUAAAUCGUGGCACCACGUUUCCUCAAUGAAUACCUUUGACUGACGUCUUGCUGACUGAUAUUCAUGAAACAAACUGUUCAGCAAAUGUAGGACCGACUGGUGUCCUGUUCCCUCCAGCUCGUCAUCCUCAAAGAAGAUGCUCAUCUCUUUUGAAGAGAUUUCAUGCAUUGUAUGAAGGCUUUCAAAAAUUUGAUGGAACUAUGAACUGAACAGCAACAUGGACAAAUGACACGUGUCCUACAUGGUUUUCGCUGUGAACACAUUGUUACAGUUAUGAUUGCCUAC